GGGCCCGCACAAGCAGUGGAGUAUGUGGUUUAAUUCGAAGCAACGCGAAGAACCUUACCAGGGCUUGACAUACACAGGAAUACUUCAGAGAUGAAGUAGUUCUUCGGAACCUGUGAACAGGUGGUGCAUGGUUGUCGUCAGCUCGUGUCGUGAGAUGUUGGGUUAAGUCCCGCAACGAGCGCAACCCCUGUUGUUAGUUGCCAUCAUUAAGUUGGGCACUCUAGCGAGACUGCCGGUGAUAAAUCGGAGGAAGGUGGGGACGACGUCAAAUCAUCAUGCCCCUUAUGUCCUGGGCUACACACGUACUACAAUGGCUAAAACAGAGGGAAGCAAUAUCGUAAGAUGGAGCCAAACCCUAAAUAUAGUCCCAGUUCAGAUUGUGGGCUGAAACCCGCCCACAUGAAGUCGGAAUUGCUAGUAAUGGCAGGUCAGCAUACUGCCGUGAAUACGUUCCCGGGCCUU
rnacentral:rRNA from 1 species